UUGCUGAUUCGCUGACGAGUGGCGGACGGGUGAGUAAUGUCUGGGAAACUGCCUGAUGGAGGGGGAUAACUACUGGAAACGGUAGCUAAUACCGCAUAACGUCGCAAGACCAAAGAGGGGGACCUUCGGGCCUCUUGCCAUCGGAUGUGCCCAGAUGGGAUUAGCUAGUAGGUGGGGUAACGGCUCACCUAGGCGACGAUCCCUAGCUGGUCUGAGAGGAUGACCAGCCACACUGGAACUGAGACACGGUCCAGACUCCUACGGGAGGCAGCAGUGGGGAAUAUUGCACAAUGGGCGCAAGCCUGAUGCAGCCAUGCCGCGUGUAUGAAGAAGGCCUUCGGGUUGUAAAGUACUUUCAGCGGGGAGGAAGGGAGUAAAGUUAAUACCUUUGCUCAUUGACGUUACCCGCAGAAGAAAGCACCGGCUAACUCCGUGCCA
rnacentral:rRNA from 1 species